GGGGAUUAGCCCUUAAGCUUCAUUGAUUUUAGCGGAACGCUCUGGAAAGUGCGGCCAUAGUGGGUGAUAGCCCCGUACGCGAAAGGAUCUUUGAAGUGAAAUCGAGUAGGACGGAGCACGAGAAACUUUGUCUGAACAUGGGGGGACCAUCCUCCAAGGCUAAAUACUACUGACUGACCGAUAGUGAACCAGUACCGUGAGGGAAAGGCGAAAAGAACCCCGGAGAGGGGAGUGAAAUAGAACCUGAAACCGUAUGCGUACAAGCAGUGGGAGCCUACUUGUUAGGUGACUGCGUACCUUUUGUAUAAUGGGUCAGCGACUUAUAUUCAGUGGCAAGCUUAACCGUAUAGGGUAGGCGUAGCGAAAGCGAGUCUUAAUAGGGCGUUUAGUCGCUGGGUAUAGACCCGAAACCGGGCGAUCUAUCCAUGAGCAGGUUGAAGGUUAGGUAACACUGACUGGAGGACCGAACCCACUCCCGUUGAAAAGGUAGGGGAUGACUUGUGGAUCGGAGUGAAAGGCUAAUCAAGCUCGGAGAUAGCUGGUUCUCCUCGAAAGCUAUUUAGGUAGCGCCUCAUGUAUCACUCUGGGGGGUAGAGCACUGUUUCGGCUAGGGGGUCAUCCCGACUUACCAAACCGAUGCAAACUCCGAAUACCCAGAAGUGCCGAGCAUGGGAGACACACGGCGGGUGCUAACGUCCGUCGUGAAAAGGGAAACAACCCAGACCGCCAGCUAAGGUCCCAAAGUUGUGGUUAAGUGGUAAACGAUGUGGGAAGGCUUAGACAGCUAGGAGGUUGGCUUAGAAGCAGCCACCCUUUAAAGAAAGCGUAAUAGCUCACUAGUCGAGUCGGCCUGCGCGGAAGAUGUAACGGGGCUCAAACCACACACCGAAGCUGCGGGUGUCACGUAAGUGACGCGGUAGAGGAGCGUUCUGUAAGCCUGUGAAGGUGAGUUGAGAAGCUUGCUGGAGGUAUCAGAAGUGCGAAUGCUGACAUGAGUAACGACAAUGGGUGUGAAAAACACCCACGCCGAAAGACCAAGGGUUCCUGCGCAACGUUAAUCGACGCAGGGUUAGUCGGUUCCUAAGGCGAGGCUGAAAAGCGUAGUCGAUGGGAAACAGGUUAAUAUUCCUGUACUUCUGGUUACUGCGAUGGAGGGACGGAGAAGGCUAGGCCAGCUUGGCGUUGGUUGUCCAAGUUUAAGGUGGUAGGCUGAAAUCUUAGGUAAAUCCGGGGUUUCAAGGCCGAGAGCUGAUGACGAGUCGUCUUUUAGAUGACGAAGUGGUUGAUGCCAUGCUUCCAAGAAAAGCUUCUAAGCUUCAGGUAACCAGGAACCGUACCCCAAACCGACACAGGUGGUCGGGUAGAGAAUACCAAGGCGCUUGAGAGAACUCGGGUGAAGGAACUAGGCAAAAUGGCACCGUAACUUCGGGAGAAGGUGCGCCGGCUAGGGUGAAGGAUUUACUCCGUAAGCUCUGGCUGGUCGAAGAUACCAGGCCGCUGCGACUGUUUAUUAAAAACACAGCACUCUGCAAACACGAAAGUGGACGUAUAGGGUGUGACGCCUGCCCGGUGCCGGAAGGUUAAUUGAUGGGGUUAGCGCAAGCGAAGCUCUUGAUCGAAGCCCCGGUAAACGGCGGCCGUAACUAUAACGGUCCUAAGGUAGCGAAAUUCCUUGUCGGGUAAGUUCCGACCUGCACGAAUGGCGUAACGAUGGCGGCGCUGUCUCCACCCGAGACUCAGUGAAAUUGAAAUCGCUGUGAAGAUGCAGUGUAUCCGCGGCUAGACGGAAAGACCCCGUGAACCUUUACUGUAGCUUUGCACUGGACUUUGAGCCUGCUUGUGUAGGAUAGGUGGGAGGCUUUGAAGCGUGGACGCCAGUUCGCGUGGAGCCAUCCUUGAAAUACCACCCUGGCAUGCUUGAGGUUCUAACUCUGGUCCGUAAUCCGGAUCGAGGACAGUGUAUGGUGGGCAGUUUGACUGGGGCGGUCUCCUCCUAAAGAGUAACGGAGGAGUACGAAGGUGCGCUCAGACCGGUCGGAAAUCGGUCGUAGAGUAUAAAGGCAAAAGCGCGCUUGACUGCGAGACAGACACGUCGAGCAGGUACGAAAGUAGGUCUUAGUGAUCCGGUGGUUCUGUAUGGAAGGGCCAUCGCUCAACGGAUAAAAGGUACUCCGGGGAUAACAGGCUGAUACCGCCCAAGAGUUCAUAUCGACGGCGGUGUUUGGCACCUCGAUGUCGGCUCAUCACAUCCUGGGGCUGAAGCCGGUCCCAAGGGUAUGGCUGUUCGCCAUUUAAAGUGGUACGCGAGCUGGGUUUAGA
rnacentral:rRNA from 1 species